rnacentral:lncRNA from 1 species
GAGCUGCUUCCCAUUCUGUUUUACUUCUUAAUUAUGCAGCAGGGUAUUGCUCUAGUUAUAACCCCAAUUAAUUGGGCUUGCAUGACCCACGUCCAUUUUGCUGAGCCUGGCAUAUCAUUAACAUGAGGCUCUGAUCUAGGUUGGCACUGAGGGAUUCUUCUGGAAGGAAAUAGAAAGGAGAUCAAUUCUGACAAAAUGACUCAUUUUUUAUUUUCUCCAUGAGGCCAGAGAAGGGUCAUCCUACGAAGAGAAAGAGCACUAUGGAGUAAUGGCUUCCAAAGCAGUAAUUUACAACAGCAAUAUGAUUUGGCCAGCCUUCAGGCACCAUCAUGAAGCCUCAAGUCGCCUAGAUUUUAUGUGCUGGCUGCAGACAGUUGCAGUAUGGGAGAGAGCCUGGUACCUUCUUGAGAACAACUGACAAAAACUGCUACCACCCCAGUCCCAGAGGUCAACCGCCCUGCUUUCCAGUACUAGUGGAAUAAAAAC